UUCUAAAUAUAGCCACACUCUUCCACCGCAUUUGGCACAGACGUGGAGGGUCUGUUUUAUAAAAGUAGAUUUGCACACGAGGUAUGAAUGCAGCUGAUAGACACGCCGUGGCUUUUUACUUUUUGAACACACAUCACACCUCUCGGGGGAAAAGACAACAGGAUGAAUUAUCAGCUCGUCAAACGAGUCCUUAGUCAGCAGUAAAUCCCACAGUUCCAAGGAUCUGGCCCGGCGUGAUCCGUCACACAGUCUCCAGGCAGGAGAAGUAUAGCGGAGGAAGAGAGUCAGCUGGCAAGCAAAAGACCAUGGGGGAUUAUUCAUCACGCUCUCAGCACGUGCAACCAUCCGACAUUCAACAGCUCAGAUGUCUAAUAAAGAGUUAUGGCGCUGUCAACACAAGGACGUUUCUUCAAUCUGUCGCAUUAACACCCUUAAGAAAAAGUGUGUUUGAAGGGAUAGUUCACCCCAAAAUUAAAAGAAAAAUGUCAGCAUGAAAAUGUUAACUCUUCCUCAAGUUGUUCCAAACUUAUAUGUGUUGGACACCGAAGAAGAUAUUUUGAAGAAUAUUGUAACCAAACAGUUGAUGGCAGCCACUGGCUUCUACAGUACUCAUGUUCAUGGCUACCGUCAGAUGUUUGCUUACCAACUUUCUUCAGAACAUGUUCUUGUGUGUUCAACAGAACAAGAAAAAGUCAAGGGUGUUGAUAAAUGAAAACAUUUUUAUUUUUGCACAAACUGUCUAUUUAACUGUAACAAAUCUGCACUUGUAGUGUACUUCAAAUCUUAAAAGUAUAUUUCUAGCAAAAUACUCGAUAGUAUUUUUAAUUACGUCAAAGUAUAUUUUAGUUUACCAUAAAUGCUUAUCAGUGCAAUUCAACCAUAUUUCAAAGACAAUAAAACAAAAUCACAUAAAAAAUAUGCACUUCGGAUUGGAUUGCAUUUAAACAUGUAUAUGUAUUAUAAACUAAGUGGCCUAAAACAUUACAUGCAGCUUGGACUGAAGUAUAUUUGGUUACACUUUAUUUUAAAGUCACCUUGUUACAGUGUAACUAUACUUUUAAGUACAGAGUAAUAUUAAUUAACUACUGUACAUGUACUUACUAUGGGUUAUUUGCAUGUUAUUGUGCAUUAUUUUCUGAUUUUAUAAUAACAAGGGCACCUUAAAAUAAACUGUUACGAUAUAUAGUUUUACUGUAUAAUACUUCUGUAAUAAAGACUCUUUUUGCUAGUAUUCUAAAGUGCACUCCUUUUCCACAAGGACAUCCAAGAACGUACUGGCAAGGACAGUUAGCACUAAACUUUUUCAAAUCUGGGUUCACUAGAGGUUGAUUAUCUUUCAGAAUGUUUCAGUUUUGGUUACACAACACAUUAGCUGAGAACAUGACACACGAUGAGUGCAACUGUAGCGUAUGUGCGUUUGACACGCAUGAGCUGCAGUGCAUGCAUAAAAUCUGUAGAUUUCGCUACGCCUGACCCCAUUCCUCUUCUAUAAUUUCCCAUCAGCCUUCACUAUCCCAAGGAAAAAAGGCCCAAAAACAGGACAGUAAAGUUCAGAAUAUGUCACAAGACCAUUAAUUUUCUCGCCACUUCUAUGUGAAAGCAGAAAAUCAAUUAAAAGCAGCUUUUCUGGAGUGCAGCAAUGCCGGAGGUGUGUCGUGGGUGCUGACCCGCUAGUCAUUAACGCUCUCGAUGCGUUUCUGUGUGUACAUCGAAGCAGGAUGUGGGCGGUAAAGCCAAUCCUCCUUCAGGGUCGCUUGAGUUCUUCUCUCAGCGCCGUCUUGUGUAACGCUAUUCACGAUACUCGCCUUCGGUCUUUAUUGGUAUGUUUCAGCUGACGUGAGUGUGGGAUUAUACGUUACUGAACCUAAAACUCUGCCCUUUUCGAACACCAUCAAAAGCUCCUUUGCUGAAACUGACCUCGAUGCUAAAAACAGCAUUGUGGAGUCUUGCAUUGCAUAACUCAUCUCACAACAAAGAGAGGCCUCUAGUGUUAGUGACGAGACCUGUGGCAAGGUUUUCCAUUAAGACAGAGAGGUCACAGAUAUAAGCGUGUACCUGUGAGGCUGAGCU